ACGGUCCACAAAUAUUUAUUAAACUUAAUUUGUGUGAUCUUUUCUUCCUUGAUACAUCCGAUUAGCGCACUUAUUUUCUGCUCCAUGGAAUCAUCGAAACACAACAUAAAGGGAAAAGGCCAACGAUGAAAUCAUUGUUUCUUUACACCUAUCUCAAAUUAUCAAGUACGUACAUAACCACCUCCGUAACAAUAAACUACUCUUGAUUUUUGUAUACAUCAGUGAAUCACCAAUGAAUUGGCUUACAAACUCAAUUUAAUUCAAACGAUUUUCUAUUAUUUUUUAAAAGAAAGGGUAAAAUAUAAACCUGAUUUUUAUACACGCCUAUAUAGAAUUAGAUAUAUAUGCACUUGAUUGAAGCAAUUGUUCAAUGAUAACUGAAAUACCAAAAAUCAAUUCUAACACUAAAAUCACACCGAUCUAGACAAACCUAUCUAAAUUCUAAAUUC
rnacentral:lncRNA from 1 species